GCCCUUUCGGGGGUACACGAGCGGCGAACGGGUGAGUAACACGUGAGUAAUCUGCCCUUCACUUCGGGAUAAGCCUCGGAAACGGGGUCUAAUACCGGAUAUGACAUUGUCCUGCAUGGGGUGGUGUGGAAAGUUUUUUCGGUGGAGGAUGUGCUCGCGGCCUAUCAGCUUGUUGGUGGGGUAAUGGCCUACCAAGGCUUCGACGGGUAGCCGGCCUGAGAGGGUGACCGGCCACACUGGGACUGAGACACGGCCCAAACUCCUACGGGAGGCAGCAGUGGGGAAUAUUGGACAAUGGGCGGAAGCCUGAUCCAGCAACGCCGCGUGAGGGAUGACGGCCUUCGGGUUGUAAACCUCUUUCAGUAGGGACGAAGCGCAAGUGACGGUACCUACAGAAGAAGCACCGGCCAACUACGUGCCAGCAGCCGCGGUAAUACGUAGGGUGCGAGCGUUGUCCGGAAUUAUUGGGCGUAAAGGGCUCGUAGGCGGUUUGUCGCGUCGGGAGUGAAAACACCGGGCUUAACUCGGUGCUUGCUUUCGAUACGGGCAGACUAGAGGCAUGCAGGGGAGAACGGAAUUCCUGGUGUAGCGGUGAAAUGCGCAGAUAUCAGGAGGAACACCGGUGGCGAAGGCGGUUCUCUGGGCAUGUCCUGACGCUGAGGAGCGAAAGUGUGGGGAGCGAACAGGAUUAGAUACCCUGGUAGUCCACACCGUAAACGUUGGGC
rnacentral:rRNA from 1 species